rnacentral:rRNA from 1 species
CCCUUAGAUGUUCUGGGCCGCACGCGCGCUACACUGACGGAGGCAGCGAGCAUGUCCUUCGCCGAGAGGUGUGGGGAAUCUUGUGAGUCUCCGUCGUGCUGGGGAUAGAUGGUUGCAAUUGUCGAUCUUGAACGAGGAAUUCCUAGUAAGCGCGAGUCAUCAGCUUGCAUUGAUUACGUCCCUGCCCUUUGUACACACCGCCCGUCGCUCCUACCGAUUGGGUGUGCUGGUGAAAUGUUCGGAUCGGCCGUUUGUCGCGGUUUCCGCGUCAUGUGGCUGAGAAGUUCAUUAAACCCUCCCACCUAGAGGAAGGAGAAGUCGUAACA